rnacentral:rRNA from 1 species
UGCGGAUAGCGGCAGACGGGUGAGUAACGCGUAGGAAUCUACCCUAUAGUGGGGAAUAGCCCCGCGAAAGCGGGGGUAAUACCGCAUAAUCCCGCAAGGGAAAAGGCCUUAACUGGUCGCUAAAGGAGGAGCCUGCGUGCUAUCAGCUAGUUGGUGGGGUAAUGGCCUACCAAGGCAAUGACGGCUAGGGGGCGUGAGAGCGUGGCCCCCCACAAGGUUACUGAGACACGGAGCCUACACCUACGGGUGGCAGCAACCAAGAAUCUUCCGCAAUGGGCGAAAGCCUGACGGAGCGACACCGCGUGUGGGAAGAAGCGCCUCGGCGUGUAAACCACUGUGGCAGGGGAAGAAUUUUGACGGUACCCUGCUAGAAAGAACCUGCUAACUACGUGCCAGAAGCCUCGGUAAUACGUAGGGUUCAAGCGUUAUCCGGAUUUACUGGGCGUAAAGCGUUCGUAGGUGGAGUAGUAAGUGGUGGGUUAAAGACUGGAGCUCAACUCCAGACCAGCUCAUCAUACUGCUAUUCUCGAGUGUGUUCGGGGAGGUUGGAAUUCUCGGUGGAGGGGUGAAAUCCGUUGAUAUCGAGAAGAACGCCAAGGGUGAAGACAGGCCUCUAGGGCACUACUGACACUGAGGGACGAAAGCUAGGGUAGCAAACCGGAUUAGAGACCCGAGUAGUCCUAGCCGUAAACGAUGGAU